AAGUCCUGGCCCAGACCUAAGCAACCAGGUUCCACCCUGUUCCCUCUUACCCACCCUACGCCAGCGGCUAAAAGCUGCCUUGGCUAGCUCAGACCCUGAGAGCUAAGGGAUGGGAAGGGUUCCGGUGGGGACACAUGGCCAGUGGCUGUUCUUCCAUAUUCAUCUGUCUUUAAUAUUCAGAUGAAUGGAAGUACAUGACCUUGCUAGUGUUUUGGGGUAGGAAAGGCAAGAGAGUCCUCAGAAGUCAUCUAAAUCAUGCCUUUUUAUUUUUCAGAUAAGUAAAACUGUGGUUCAAAGAGGCCCUGGGACCACCUGCGAAGAUCCUGGGAUUCAUCAGGGGUCUGGACCUUGGAUCACACCUGCUCCGGCUAUUCUGAUGUCAUCUCCAUCUCCUGGAGACAGUUGCUGCAUGAGAACAAAGGCAGGGCCCAGACGAGGUCUGGAGGGAUAAGCGGCAGGGAUCUGGGCACUGAGCUGAGGCACUGGGCAGGCAGAGCCAUUGCCCUCGCCCCUACCAUGAACCCCUACAGAGAUGCUGCUAGAACCUUGCUUUCUAAGGGGUAGGAGGGUCUGGCUGCCUCUGCCUCUACUCACCCCAUAGACACACAGGCCUUCUCUCCAUCCAGGGAGAACAUAGCUGCCAAGAGCAGUCCUGCCCCCACACCAGGCUCCCCAGCAGUGAGGAGCUGGGCUGGGCUGUCCUCACCCGCCCUCUUGGCCUCACCCUGGCCCUUCCCUGGCCCUGCCUCGGGAUGCCAGGACCCAUAGCAGGUGCCUGGACAGGCUUGGGGAUGGAAAGGGGGCUGGGCACAGAAGGCCAGCUUCUGGCCAAGAACAGAACUCAUAGA
rnacentral:lncRNA from 10 species